UACGUAGGGUCCGAGCGUUGUCCGGAAUUACUGGGCGUAAAGCGCGCGCAGGCGGCCCGCGAGGUGUCACGUGAAAGCCCCGGGCUCAACCCGGGAGGGUCGCGGCGAACCGGCGGGCUUGAGGCCGGUAGAGGUGGGUGGAACUCCUGGUGGAGUGGUGAAAUGCGUAGAGAUCAGGAAGAACACCCGUGGCGAAGGCGGCCCACUGGGCCGGUACUGACGCUGAGGCGCGAAGGCGUGGGGAGCGAACGGG
rnacentral:rRNA from 1 species